CAUGAGACUUUCGCGCAGCACUAACACACCCACAUUCGUCAUCUCGACACCUUAUAAAUACAGACAGAACACACAGAUCAGACACGGAUCAUUUGGAUUUCUGCACCAGGAAAAUACUUUUUACUGCACUUAUCACCAAGACAAGACAAAAUGAGUGAUAAAAAGGGCAAGGCACCAGAAGGGAAAGGAUGUGACGGAGAAGGAAAAGGAAAGUGUGGAACGGGGGCAGCAGUACCUGGAAAAGAACAUGGAAAAGAUCAUGGAAAAGAUCAUGGAAAAGAUCAUGGAAAAGGAAAAGAAGGUGGACAGGCUAAACCAGAUGAAAAGAAAGGAGGUCAUGGUCCUGGUAAAUGAAGAAGAACUCCUUGAAUCGACAUUCUGUGAUAAUGAUUGUAAAAAAUUCAAUACAUAAUCUUUAAUAAAGUAAUCCAGGAAAAGGCAA